UGGGGCGUAGCGUAACCCGGCAGCGCGCCUGAUUCUGGUUCAGGUAGUCCUGGUUCGAAUCCAGGCGCCCCAG
rnacentral:tRNA from 1 species